UACGAAGGGGACUAGCGUUGUUCGGAAUUACUGGGCGUAAAGCGCACGUAGGCGGAUUUGUAAGUCAGGGGUGAAAUCCCGGGGCUCAACCUCGGAACUGCCUUUGAUACUGCAAAUCUCGAGUCCGAUAGAGGUGGGUGGAAUUCCUAGUGUAGAGGUGAAAUUCGUAGAUAUUAGGAAGAACACCGGUGGCGAAGGCGGCCCACUGGAUCGGUACUGACGCUGAGGUGCGAAAGCGUGGGGAGUAAACAGG
rnacentral:rRNA from 1 species